UACGUAGGGAGCGAGCGUUAUCCGGAUUUAUUGGGUGUAAAGGGUGCGUAGACGGGAUAGUAAGUUAGUUGUGAAAUCCCCAGGCUUAACUUGGGAACUGCAACUAAAACUGUUAUUCUUGAGUGUUGGAGAGGAAAGUGGAAUUCCUAGUGUAGCGGUGAAAUGCGUAGAUAUUAGGAGGAACACCAGUGGCGAAGGCGACUUUCUGGACAAUAACUGACGUUGAGGCACGAAGGUGUGGGGAGCGAAC
rnacentral:rRNA from 1 species